UUCAUUUAACGGUCCGCUUCUUUUGAGGGAUAACUUAUAAGGCAAGAAAUGAGGCUAAUCCAGUAUUUUCGAGAAAUUCAAUGUAAUAAAGUAUUGUAACAGGUAAAAACCCGUUAAAUAAGAAGGCGUGAAUGGCUUCCUCAAUAAUAUCUUAGUUUUAUUGUAGCCUUAUGGAUACGGCUUAGAAGGAAAGUGUUUGAUAAACAGGAAAAUCGGCUGCCCGACAAAUAACAAUAGAACGCUUAUUUUUUUAGGAGACGGGACGGGAAUGUUUUAUUUGAUUUUGUUUUCAUUGUUGUGUUCUUUAUUGGCAGUUUUAGUAAAUCCCGAAAGACGAUAUUAAGAAAACGGUUGCUAUAGUUCAGCUAUAAAAUCAUAGUCAAAAACUCCUUUGUUGGAAAGCUUGUCACAAAUCCUAGUAAACAAUAACCGGCUUACCACAAAAACUUUUAAACGUCAGUUUAUGCCUUGUCUAAAAAAAUGUCAAAUUAUGACGUUGACAUAUGGUUCAUUUUGCAGCCAAAAUUUUAUUAGACAAGUGUAAAACAGGGUUUAAAGUUUUUGUAGUAAGGCCCUUAAUGUUUUAAUAAAACACAAUCAACAAUACCUAAUUAAGCGACUGUCAACUUUUAUCUCUACAUCGUGAAAAUAAAACAAAAGAAUCUUACAAAGAAAACCGGAGUAAGAACAAAGAAAACUAGGAAAUUUUGAAAUGGCAGUAGCGGCUCGUUAUCACGGCCGACCCUUUCAUAAAAACUGUUAAUAAACUGGAAUAAUGCAUGAGGCGUCGACGAGAAAUCAAGAAUUAACCAUCAAAUAUUCAAGACAUAAAUACGCACUUAAGAUAGGUCUCACUCUGAGUAAGCAGUUUUAUUUGAUUUCGAAAAUCUCAUUUCAAUUUGUCAAAUUAUUUAUAAGUAGGGACUAUCAAGACCCGUUAAUAUAAUAGUUUUCUUGGUUUAUUUUGCACAAAACAACAGUUAAAAGGUAUCCAAUGUGUUUCCUAAAUGUUAUUUCAUAUUUUCACAUAAUUCGCAAAUGUUCGAGUUUCUUUAGUGCUUGUGGUUCGUGUUAAGUACAAUUAAAUAUUUACCUUAAUGUCUUCUUGUAAAUUAAUUACCCGUGAAACCAGCACACAGGGUUGGCGCUUAAAUGAUACCUAUUUGUGACCAAAAGUGUAAACUUACACUAAUAUUUAUCUUUGAGCUUUCCUUUGUAAGUUUAAUUAAGAAUUUCUUGAAUUGAAUCCUAAAGUAAAUUCAACAGCUUUCACAGGUAUAAUCGGAAAAAUCAAAAUAUAAUAUAGAUCAAAGAGAAGCUUUGUGAAAUCAUCCAAGUAAGUCUUCAACAACUAUGAUCGUUGCUUUCGCCAGAUUUCCCGAAACUACACAAACCCAAGAAGUCGCUUCUUGUAAAGCACUGGUACUCAGCUGAAUCCGGUUAGACUGGAAGCCGACCCCAACAUGAUUGGGAAAAGGCUCGGAGAAUGAUGACACAGACCCAAGAAACAAGAAGCUGUGAAAAAUUUUCAAAACAGAUUUAAAUGUGAUUUUUGUUCGCUUGGCAAUAAUAUUCAAAGGUAGAUUUUCGUGAACUUAUUUUAAUUGAUCCGCUUCCAUAGUUUUAGGAACACGUAGGUAUGGGCACCGUGCGGAAACUAUAGAUGGCGUUAUAAUCCCGACAGUAGAGACACCAUGCGAGUAAAAAAAGAAACUUUCCAAACCCAUUGGUUGUGACCGUCUAGUCUGUAAAUGUGAUUUUACAAUGAUUAAAAAUAUAAAAUAUAAAAUACAAUGAUUAAAAUUAUAAAAUAUGGUUUUCUACCAAUAAACAAUGAUCGGCAGCGUGGUCAAAAUAUAUCAAAAGGCCAAAAGCUAUUCGAGUCGGGCCAUGUUUUUGAUGUCAUAGAAACAGUUGGCCAAGAACAAGAAACAAUAUUAACUGGCAAAAUUGUUGCUCAGACAAAAAUUUCAAAUGUAUAUGAUGUUAAGAUAACACUUGAUUGCAAUAGAAACAUUAAAAGUGCAACUUGUAAAUGCAAGGCAGGUCUAUCAGGACAAUGUUAGCACGUCUGUGCCUUAGUGCAUUACGUAAAUUCUGCAGAAAGUGCAGAAUCGAAAACCAGUUAUGCACGACAAUGGGGCAAACCAACGUACCGACAGUUACUGGGUUAUGAUAAAGGAGUGACAAUGGCAGAGUUAUUUCCAACUCCACCAAUAAGUAUUAAAGUAUUACGUGUGUUUUACAA